GAUGAACGCUGGCGGCGUGUCUAAGGCAUGCAAGUCUAUCGUGUUACCUUCGGGUAACGCGAGGCAAACGGGAGAGUAACACAUUGGUAACCUACCCUGAAAGACGAGGAUAACUUCGAGAAAUCGGAGAUAAUACUCGAUAAAGGCGGGGGGAUAUAAAUCAUUCCCGCCUAAAGCUCCGGCGCUUCGGGAGGGGCCUAUGGCCUAUCAGUUUGUUGGUGAGGGUAAAAGCCCACCAAGACUAUGACGGGUAGCGGGUGUGAGAGCAUGACCCGCCUCACUGGGACUGAGACACUGCCCAGACUCCUACGGGAGGCUGCAGUCGAGAAUCUUCCUCAAUGGCCGAAAGGCUGAAGGAGCGACGCCGCGUGCAGGAAGACGCCCCUCGGGGUGUAAACUGCUUUUAUGUGGGACGAAACAAUGACGGUACCACAAGAAUAAGGGGCUGCUAACUUCGUGCCAGCAGCAGCGGUAAUACGAAGGCCCCAAGCGUUAUCCGGAUUUAUUGGGUGUAAAGGGUCCGCAGGCGGUUUAACGCAUCUCCUGUUAAAUCUCAAGGCUCAACCUUGAGGCCGCGGGAGAGAUGGUUAAACUAGAGACCGGGAGAGGCACAUGGAAUUGCUGGUGUAGGGGUUAAAUCCGUUAAUAUCAGCAGGAACACCAAAUGCGAAGGCAGUGUGCUAGAACGGUUCUGACGCUCAGGGACGAAAGCGUGGGGAGCGAAUGGGAUUAGAUACCCCAGUAGUCCACGCCGUAAACGAUGGAUGCUAAGCAUUGGAAGUAUCGACCCUUCCAGUGCUGUCUACUUAAGCUAACGCCUUAAGCAUCCCACCUGGGGAGUACGAGCGCAAGCUUAAAACUCAAAGGAAUGACGGG
rnacentral:rRNA from 1 species